rnacentral:rRNA from 1 species
AGAGAGAGACAUGCGCGCAUAUCAAUAAGCGGAGGAAAAGAAACUAACAAGGAUUCCCCUAGUAACGGCGAGUGAAGCGGGAAGAGCUCAAAUUUGAAAUCUUAAAGGGUUUCCCUUUACGAAUUGUAGUUUAAAGAAGUGUUUUCUGUUGAGGUUUUGGUAAAAGUUCUUUGGAAUAGGACAUCAUAGAGGGUGAGAAUCCCGUAUUUGACCUUUACUUUCAACUUUGUGAUACACUUUCAAAGAGUCGGAUUGUUUGGGAAUGCAGUCCAAAAUGGGUGGUAAAUUUCAUCUAAAGCUAAAUAUUGGCGAGAGACCGAUAGCGAACAAGUACCGUGAGGGAAAGAUGAAAAGAACUUUGAAAAGAGAGUUAAACAGUACGUGAAAUUGUCAAAAGGGAAGCGUUUGACACCAGUGUUGUUUUUCUGAAAAUCAAUUAAAGAACUGUUUAUGCUAAGUUGUUUAGACUUUAUCAGCUAUCUGUUUAGUUUUGAGCUUUUCUUUAAUGCACUUUUCAGUUAACAAGUCAACAUCAAUUUCUUUUGCUGUAAAAAAGCUUGAGGAAGGUGGCUUGAGAUUCGUCUUAAGUGUUUAUAGCCUCUUGCCUAUGCAGUCGGAGAGAUUGAGGUCUGCAGCGUAGAUCCUUCGGGGCUAAAUGCAUUUGUGCUAAGUUAUAACAUUUUAUAGACAACUUGUUGACUAUGAUUUGUCUUGUAGCUUACUCGCUUAUGUUAUUUUACCUACGCUUAGGAUGUUGACGCAUGAGAUAUACGC